UGGGCGUAAGCGCGCGCAGGCGGUUUCUUAAGUCUGAUGUGAAAGCCCACGGCUCAACCGUGGAGGGUCAUUGGAAACUGGGGAACUUGAGUGCAGAAGAGAAAAGCGGAAUUCCACGUGUAGCGGUGAAAUGCGUAGAGAUGUGGAGGAACACCAGUGGCGAAUGCGGCUUUUUGGUCUGUAACUGACGCUGAGGCGCGAAAGCGUGGGGAGCGAACAGGA
rnacentral:rRNA from 1 species